AGCUUAUAUCCUUUACCAUUCCAGAGGAAAGGAGUGAAGGUAUUGAGUUUGAUUCUUUUUUUGUUGAGUAGCCACCCGUGCAGGUAGUCAUCUUCUUUUUGCUGAGCUUAGUGACCAUCCUUGCAGGUAGUCACCCACCUGCCAAGAUUCCUGUUCCAUUGCCUCCUGCUCGUUCAACAAAGAGUGAUGAGGCAUUAGGUCGGCCACUGCAACUGAAUCAAGGUGGUCAGAUUCUUGAGGCAGCUAUUGAAGCAGCUGCAAAUGCAGUUAUUGAUCUCAGGGAUAGUUUAAACGAAUGGGAUAGUAAAGCAGGUGAUGGUGACUGUGGGUCAACUAUGUAUAAAGGAGCUGCUGCAACAUUAGAGGACAUGACAAAGUGAGUUUAUUUUAAAGUUCAAUCUUUUCUGUGUUUAUACUUCUUUUUUAAACAGUAAAAUUUUGUUAGGAACAUGAUAGUUAGUAGUUGUUUUUAGUAGUAUAAAUAAGGGUCUAGUGGCUAAUGAGGGGGCAUGAUGAGAUUGUAGAGAGUGUCUAGUGCUGUGCACUAUCUUGGAGGU